rnacentral:rRNA from 1 species
GACGAACGCUGGCGGCGUGCUUAACACAUGCAAGUCGAACGGAAAGGCCCUGCUUUUGUGGGGUGCUCGAGUGGCGAACGGGUGAGUAACACGUGAGUAACCUGCCCUUGACUUUGGGAUAACUUCAGGAAACUGGGGCUAAUACCGGAUAGGAGCUCCUGCUGCAUGGUGGGGGUUGGAAAGUUUCGGCGGGUGGGGAUGGACUCGCGGCUUAUCAGCUUGUUGGUGGGGUAGUGGCUUACCAAGGCUUUGACGGGUAGCCGGCCUGAGAGGGUGAACGGCCACAUUGGGACUGAGAUACGGCCCAGACUCCUACGGGAGGCAGCAGUGGGGAAUAUUGCACAAUGGGCGGAAGCCUGAUGCAGCAACGCCGCGUGCGGGAUGACGGCCCUCGGGUUGUAAACCGCUUUCGCCUGUGACGAAGCGUGAGUGACGGUAAUGGGUAAAGAAGCACCGGCUAACUACGUG